rnacentral:rRNA from 1 species
AUUGAACGCUGGCGGCAGGCCUAACACAUUCAAGUCGAACGAGUGGCGGACGGGUGAGUAAUGUCUGGGAAACUGCCCGCUGGAGGGGGAUAACUACUGGAAACGGUAGCUAAUACCGCAUACCAUCGGAUGUGCCCAGAUGGGAUUAGCUAGUAGGUGGGGUAACGGCUCACCUAGGCGACGAUCCCUAGCUGGUAUGAGAGGAUGACCAGCCACACGGGAACUGAUACACGGUCCAGACUCCUAAGGGAGGCAGCAGUGGGGAAUAUUGCACAAUGGGAGCAAGCCUUAUGCAGCCAUGCCGCGUGUAUGAAGAAGGCCUUCGGGUUGUAAAGUACUUUCAGUGAGGAGGCGUUACUCUCUGAAGAAGCACCGGCUAACUCCGUGCCAGCAGCCGCGGUACUAC